GUUAUUUCUAAGAAAUAAAACCUGAUAACUUGUUUCUUUUAUGUUUAUUUCUGUGCAUUCCUGAAAUAAUUAAUUGGAAGGUUAAAAAUUAUAAUAAUGCCUAAAAACUUUGGCAUCCAUUAAAAUAAUCAAAAUUUUUAUUUAUUUGGUUUACUAACAUGUUUCCCUUUUUUUUUUUUUUUUUUUGGGACCAGGGAUUGAACUUGAGUCCUUGUGCUUGCGCAGCAGGUGGCGAAACCACUCCCUUUUUCUUUUUUGAUUGCCACAGGAUCUGGGCCUCACUACCGUGUGGGAAGAUCAGCUUUCUUAUCUUUUGUCGCCAGCCCUGGCCUCCUAUGAAUUUGAGCGCACAACGAGCAUAUCUGCAGGAAAUGAGGAGUUUCAGGACGCCAUCAGGAGGGCUGUGCCUGACGGGCACACAUUUAAGGGCUUCCCCAUCCACUUCGUGUACAGAAAUGCAAGGCGUGCAUUUGCCACGUGUCUUCGGUCCCCGUUUUGUGAAGAAAUAAUCUGUUGCCGUGGAGACCAAGUGCACUGGCAGUGCGUGUCCAGUGUUCACUUACCCUGAGUCGGCCUGUGCUGUUUGGAUCAUGUUUGCUUGUAAAUAUCGCUCUGUGUUGUAGGACUAAAUUGCCACAAGAAUUAUACCUGCAUUUUAUUGGAGUUUUUCACAUUGUGCACUACCAGCUAUUGGAGGUUUCUUAUUUUAAAAUAUCAUAAUCUAGCUUGGAUGUCAUAUUUCAGAUUUGUAUAGAUAUUUUGGUUUUUUGUGUGUGUGUGUUUCAUUUUUUGGUGUUUUUUUUUUUGGUAUCAGGGACCAAACUCAGGACCUUGUGCUUGCAAGGCAGCGCGCGGAACCACUGAGCUAAAUCCCCAGCCCUUUGUAUAGAUAUUUUAAAAUGAUCAUGUGUAUAUUUAAAAAUCAAAGAUGAAAAUGUGUAUAAAUCUUAGUUGAAUGUAGUAUAAAUUAAGUAUAUAUUCUAUUUUAAUAAAUGCUGCUUUGUCUGUAGGUAUCUGGUAGUUUAAAUAUGAAUAUAAAAUUUACUCAGUUUUUUAACACUUAUAAGUAACCAGAGAAGUAUUUGUCUAAUAAGAUCAAAAUGAUGAUUAUUUUUCGUAGGUGAAUGAGAUUAUCUUUCACAAAUUAAGGAGAAAUUAACCUUACAACUGUACAGCCAUACCACCCUGAAUGCGCCCAAUCUCGUCAUAUCUGAAGCUAAGCAGGGCUGGGCCUGUUAGUACUUGGAUGAGAAACCUCACAACAGACUUGCUUAUUACGUGGGUGAAAAUAUAUUUUACCAAGUCAUCACUUUUGUGGUUCACCUAUGAUGCUAGGGAUCUUUGAGAUUUUCCAGAAAUGCAUGAGAAGACUCUGAAGUAAGAACAGGAAAAAAUACCAGGAAAGCAUAGAUAUGAAUAACAAAGCUCACAUGAAAGUACAUGGAUAAUUUAUAAAUACUUAUUAUCAAAAUUGAGUAUUUUAGAAAAAAAUAGGUUGCACCCUUUUGUCAUGAACAUUUUCUGUAAUUAACAUUGCGAGUCUAUCCCUGAUUUUUGGUGGUCAAAAGAUUAAUUUGUUUUUGGUUUUUUUGUUUUUUAUUUAUAUAUUAAUUGGUACAUUUUAGGUAUGAAAUACGUUUACAUUUAUCAUUGGGUGCUUGUACCUGAACGUGAUGAAUCUUGGUUCUUAUUUUUUUCCCCAUUACCUGUGCGCCCUUCACCCCCUCCACCCCCUCCCCUAUUUACAUAGACUUUGUUUCCUUUUUUCUUUUCUUUUUUUUUUUUCUUAUGAGAAUAAUUUUUCCUUUCCUUUCUUCCCUUUCCCCUUCCCCUCCCGCCACCCGUACGCCUUUGCACCUUUUCCUAUUUCAAAGUUUAAUAUUUUUUAAAGAUUAAUUUCUUUAUGGAUUCCACCCUCCGAAACUGAUUUUCCCCUUCUUUCUCGUGUUACCAGAUGAGUCAUUGUGUGAGGCCCCUGGGAAGAGCGUGAGCGGCUCCACGCCUGCUUACUUCACACUUGAGCAAGUUUAAAGCGUUCAUUUUAAGGGGGAGCAAAGGGAGCAUUGAAAACAGUCACAGUUCAGCUGGGAGAAGCUGUGGACUAGGUGGCGGGCUUGGCUGUCCACGUGGUGUGUGUGGUGUCUCCGCAGUGUCUGGGAACGGAGCCUGCCCUGGGCAGGUGUGGUGCCUCUGAGCAGCACCCCGGGCACCGCAGUUUUAAUUUGGCCGUUUGCCUGUCAGUCUUCCUGAGCAAAUGAGGUCUUCCUUUCAUUACUUUAAUUCACUACUGCAGAGGGUGGUUUUGAUUUUAAAAAUUAAAAAUAUCUGGGGCCAGGGAUGUAGCUCAGUGGUUCUGCUGCCUGCCUUGCAAGCACAAGGACCCAAGUUCGAUCCCUGGUACCAAAAAAACAAACAAACUAGAAAUAUCUUAAAAUAUUCUUUUAUGCAUAUAUAUAUAUAUAUAUAUAUAAUGAAUAUGAUUUAGCUUGUUUUAAAAGUCUAAUACAUUACUCAUAUUGAUUUUCGUUGAAAAUGGUACUCAGAUGUUUCUUAUAGACUGACAUUAGAGAAUUCAUAAAUAAGAAUGAAGACAUCUUAUCUGUUGCCAGAAUUACACAUAAAGCUAUCAACAGAUAAAACUGCUUGUAACUUCCAACUUGAGACAGACUGUAAAGCGCCCCACGAAGAGGCAGGCUGUGUUGGGACAGUCUUUCUUUUUUUCCAGUCCCACAUGACACAUGUAUUUCAAAUGUGCUUUGGGUAUAAAUGUUCAAAUAAACUCACUUCUUACUUGCUUCAGUAGUCUUGCAUCACUGUUUCCCUUUAAGAGGUUCACUUCAUACGACUACUUCACUGAGUGAUCACUAGGAUUCGCUAACAAUAACUUUUUUUGUUUUUGGUACUGGGGAUUGAACUCGGGUCCUUGCGCUUGCGCAGCAAGCGGCAAAACCACUGAGCUAAAUCCCCGCCCCCACUAACAAUAACUUUUUAGAAUUAAAUUUACCAUGUAUGUUUAGCCGUCAUAGUUCUUUCUAUUAAAAUGUAAACAUUUUUAUAUAAUGUCUCCAGUGUGUUCUUGCUUUGAUGAUUUGUAGAUACAAUCCUCUGUGAUGCAUAUUUUAUAUACAUGUAUUGAUUUAGAAGAUGUGGCUCAGUGGUAGAGUGCUUGCAGAGCAUGUCAAGGUCCCUCGGUUCAAUUCCCAGAAGGACCAGAAUAAACACACUUUGAUUAGUAGAAAAAUAUUAGAAACUUAUUUCAUUACUCAAGCAUGAACCUAUUGAAUAAAACAUUCAGUUCCAACUAACUUCAGAGUCUUUCUAGUAGCUAGCUAGGUGUACAUCUUUAGAUAUGAUCUGCAGAAUCAUUUGUAACCUGGCAGUAUUGGAAAGUACAAACAUUUGAGGCUCAUUUUUCUACUGCUUAACCACGCUUGAGCCAAAGUACAGGCUGUGUAUUUGAAGAGAGUAUUGUUCAUAAAAGUAGUACUCUGUGCUAUAUAUCUGAUGAUCAGAAAGUAGUAAGCUCAUUCAU
rnacentral:lncRNA from 1 species